rnacentral:lncRNA from 1 species
AUGCAGAAGACCCAGACGCAGGCCCGUGUGGUCCUCCAAGCUGGGGACGAUGGGAUCAGCAUGGACGCGGUAGCCCUGGUGGCCCGGCCAGUGAAUGGCCCCCUGGAGCUGGUGGUGAAUGUCAGCCACACGGCACCUCUUCUCCGGAGGCUGGGCCUGCCCUUUGCCAGCCAGCUCAUGUUCCGGGAGCUCUGGGGAAAGGAAGAGAUGCAUUCUUCCCUGCAGCUGACGUGCGAUUCUCAAACCAGCCUGGUCCUCAACAUCCAAGGCCACAACCAGGCACUCAGCAAAGAGCUGCGGCUCUCCGGCCAGCAUCACCUCCCUGUCCUCCUUGGCCGCUGCCCCAGCAGAGCCUCCGCCUCAGCCAAGCUACGAUACUCUGAGGGUGGAGCCGAGGGCACAUUUGUGUUGAUGGUGGAGGAGCAUCAUUUCCACAUGGGUGCCGGGCUCGCAGCUGCGAAGAACAGCCUUACCAACAUCAUCAAGCUGGAGCAGAACUUCCCCCAGUUCCACGCCCUUCCUGGGGAGCUGGUCCUUCAGACCUCAUACGAGCGAGCCCGUGGCACCCAAGUCCUGCACCACACGGUGCUGUGGGACGGGCAGGGUGUGGCCCUCAAGGGGAGCCUCAAUGGGAGCCUCUCCAUGCCCUUCCUCAAGCCCGCUGGGACCCUUGGUCUGCAGGAUUACGUGCGUGUGUGGCCCCAAAGUGGCCCCCGGCACCCUCUUGGCCUCAAGCUGAUGCCCCCCCUCCCUGUACGCCCCUCCCUGCCCAGUGGAGCUCACCCACCCGCUGCCCCUGCCCCUUCCAUGGCACUGCAGCUUCCGCCUGACCUCCGAGCAUUCAGCACGCCGUCACCAGGAUGACCUGGUUGUGGGCUGGGACGGCAAGGACCAGGUGGCGCUGUCCUCCUCUCUGCGGCUGGGGAAGGGCAAGCUGGCCGCCCGCCUGGCCCUGGCUCACCCUUUCAGCCUCUCCUGGCGGCAGGCCGAGGCCAGUGGCCUUGCUGAGAGCAGGGGCGGCAGGCAGAGCUGGCAGGUGAGCGGGGAGCAGCCACGGG